CCUACGGGAGGCUGCAGUGAGGAAUAUUGGUCAAUGGGCGGAAGCCUGACCCAGCCACGUAGCGUGCAGGAUGACGGCCCUACGGGUUGUAAACUGCGUUUAUACGGGAGUAACGCGCCUUACGUGUAGGGCUUUGCAUUUACCGUAUGAGUAAGGACCGGAGAAUUCCGUUCCGUCCGCCCCGGUAAUACGGUAGGUCCGGGCGUUAUUCGGAUUUAUUGGGUUUAAAGGGAGCGUAGGCCGCAUGUCAAGCGUGCUGUGAAAUGUCCGGGCUCAACCCGGGCCUUGCAGUGCGAACUGGCGUGCUUGAGUCGGCGGGAGGAUGGUGGAAUUCGAGGUGU
rnacentral:rRNA from 1 species